rnacentral:rRNA from 1 species
AGUGAACGCUGGCGGCAGGCCUAACACAUGCAAGUCGAACGGCAGCACAAGAGAGCUUGCUCUCUGGGUGGCGAGUGGCGGACGGGUGAGGAAUGCAUCGGAAUCUGCCCAUUUGUGGGGGAUAACCUCGGGAAACCGGGACUAAUACCGCAUACGACCUACGGGUGAAAGCAGGGGAUCUUCGGACCUUGCGCAGAUGGAUGAGCCGAUGCUGGAUUAGCUAGUUGGAGGGGUAAAGGCCCACCAAGGCGACGAUCCGUAGCUGGUCUGAGAGGAUGAUCAGCCACACUGGGACUGAGACACGGCCCAGACUCCUACGGGAGGCAGCAGUGGGGAAUAUUGGACAAUGGGCGCAAGCCUGAUCCAGCCAUGCCGCGUGUGUGAAGAAGGCCUUCGGGUUGUAAAGCACUUUUGUUGGGAAAGAAAAGCAGCCGGUUAAUACCCGGUUGUCAUGACGGUACCCAAAGAAUAAGCACCGGCUAACUUCGUG